UCCAGAGCGAUUCCCUGGUGUUCUUGAGC
rnacentral:piRNA from 1 species